rnacentral:rRNA from 1 species
GAUGAACGCUAGCUACAGGCUUAACACAUGCAAGUCGAGGGGAAACGACAUCGAAAGCUUGCUUUUGAUGGGCGUCGACCGGCGCACGGGUGAGUAACGCGUAUCCAACCUGCCCACCACUUGGAGAUAACCUUGCGAAGGUAAGACUAAUACCCAAUGACGUCUCUAGAAGACAUCUGAAAGAGAUUAAAGAUUUAUCGGUGAUGGAUGGGGAUGCGUCUGAUUAGCUUGUUGGCGGGGUAACGGCCCACCAAGGCGACGAUCAGUAGGGGUUCUGAGGGGAAGGUCCCCCACAUUGGAACUGCGACACGGUCCAAACUCCUACGGGAGGCAGCAGUGAGGAAUAUUGGUCAAUGGGCGAGAGCCUGAACCAGCCAAGUGGCGUGCAGGAUGACGGCCCUAUGGGUUGUAAACUGCUUUUAUAAGGGAAUAAAGUGAGUCUCGUGAGACUUUUUGCAUGUACCUUAUGAAUAAGGACCGGCUAAUUCCGUGCCAGCCGCCGCGGUAA